UACGGGGGGAGCAAGCGUUGUUCGGAUUUACUGGGCGUAAAGCGCGUGUAGGCGGCUCGGCAAGUCGGGUGUGAAAGCCCUGGGCUUAACCUAGGAAGUGCACUCGAAACUGCCAAGCUUGAGUUCUGGAGAGGAAGGCGGAAUUCUCGGUGUAGAGGUGAAAUUCGUAGAUAUCGAGAGGAACACCGGUGGCGAAGGCGGCCUUCUGGACAGCAACUGACGCUGAGACGCGAAAGCGUGGGAG
rnacentral:rRNA from 1 species